CCUACGGGAGGCAGCAGUAGGGAAUCUUCCACAAUGGGCGCAAGCCUGAUGGAGCAACACCGCGUGAGUGAAGAAGGGUUUCGGCUCGUAAAGCUCUGUUGUUGGAGAAGAACGUGCGUGAGAGUAACUGUUCACGCAGUGACGGUAUCCAACCAGAAAGUCACGGCUAAUUACGUGCCAGCAGCCGCGGUAAUACGUGGGUGGCAAGCGUUAUCCGGAUUUAUUGGGCGUAAAGCGAGCGCAGGGGGUUGCUUAGGUCUGAUGUGAAAGCCUUCGGCUAAACCGAAGAAGUGCAUCGGAAACCGGGCAACUUGAGUGCAGAAGAGGACAGUGGAACUCAUGUGUAGCGGUGGAAUGCGUAGAUAUAUGGAAGAACACCAGUGGCGAAGGCGGCUGUCUGGUCUGCAACUGACGCUGAGGCUCGAAAGCAUGGGUAGCGAACAGGAUUAGAUACCCCGGUAGUC
rnacentral:rRNA from 1 species